UACAGAGGGGGCAAGCGUUGUUCGGAAUUACUGGGCGUAAAGGGCGCGUAGGCGGCCUUCUAAGUCGAACGUGAAAUCCCCGGGCUCAACCCGGGAACUGCGUCCGAUACUGGAAGGCUUGAAUCCGGGAGAGGGAUGUGGAAUUCCAGGUGUAGCGGUGAAAUGCGUAGAUAUCUGGAAGAACACCCGUGGCGAAAGCGGCUCUCUGGAACGGUACUGACGCUGAGACGCGAAAGCGUGGGGAGCGAACAGG
rnacentral:rRNA from 1 species